rnacentral:rRNA from 1 species
AUUGAACGCUGGCGGCAUGCUUUACACAUGCAAGUCGAACGGCAGCGCGGGCUUCGGCCUGGCUGCGAGUGGCGAACGGGUGAGUAAUGCACCCGAACGUGCCCAGCAGUGGGGGAUAGCCCGGCCAAAGCCGGAUUAAUACCGCAUACGACCUGAGGGUGAAAGCGGGGGACCGAAAGGCCUCGCGCUAUUGGAGCGGCCGAUGUCGGAUUAGCUAGUUGGUGGGGUAAAGGCUUACCCAGGCGACGAUCCGUAGCUGGUCUGAGAGGACGACCAGCCACACUGGACUGAGACACGGCCCAGACUCCUACGGGAGGCAGCAGUGGGGAAUGUUGGACAAUGGGGGCAACCCUGAUCCAGCGAUGGCGCGUGCGGGAAGGAGGCGUUCGGGUUGGAAACCGCUUUUGUUCGGGAAGAAAUCCUCUGGGCUAAUACGCCGGGAGAGUGACGGUACCGGAAGAAUAAGCACCGGCUAACUACGUG